rnacentral:rRNA from 1 species
UACAGAGGUCUCAAGCGUUGUCCGGAAUUAUUGGGCGUAAAGGGCUCGUAGGCGGUCCAUCGCGUCGGGAGUGAAAAGCUGGGGCUUAACCCCAGUCCUGCUUCCGAUACGGGUGGACUAGAGGUAGGUAGGGGAGAUCGGAAUUCCUGGUGUAGCGGUGAAAUGCGCAGAUAUCAGGAGGAACACCGGUGGCGAAGGCGGAUCUCUGGGCCUUACCUGACGCUGAGGCGCGAAAGCCAGGGGAGCAAACGGG